CAGCCAGGAAUAUUGCGCAAUGGACGAAAGUCUGACGCAGCGGACGCCGCGUGGAGGAUGAAGGCCCUCGGGUUGUAAACUCCUUUUGCCAAGCCGUUCACAGCUUGGCGAAUAAGCCCCUAUUAACUACGUGCCAGAAGUCUCGGUAAUACGUAGGGGGCAAGCGUUAUCCGGAUUCAUUGGGCGUAAAGUGUGCGUAGGCGUUCCAUAAAGUCUUCAUUUAAAGACCAAGGCUCAACCUUGGGAGUGGUGGAGAUACUCAUGGAAUUGAGGAUUGGUCGGGAAGCUGGAACAGUUAGUGUAGCAGUGAAACGCGUUGAUAUUAACUGGAACACCAAGGGCGAAGGCAGGCUUCUGAACUUUUCCUGACGCUGAGGCACGAAAACUAGGGUAGCAAACGGGAUUAGAUACCCCGGUAGUCCUAGCCGUAAACGAUGGACACCAGGUGUUGGUGGUAUCAACCCCGCCAGUGCCGAAGCUAACGCAUUAAGUGUCCCGCCUGGGGAGUACGGCCGCAAGGCUA
rnacentral:rRNA from 1 species